CCUACGGGAGGCAGCAGUGGGGAAUAUUGCACAAUGGGGGGAACCCUGAUGCAGCGACGCCGCGUGAGUGAAGAAGCGUUUCGGCAUGUAAAGCUCUAUCCGCAGGGAAGAAAAUGACGGUACUUGACCAAGAAGCCCCGGCUAACUACGUGCCAGCAGCCGCGGUAAUACGUAGGGGGCAAGCGUUAUCCGGAUUUACUGGGUGUAAAGGGGGCGCAGACGGCAAUGCAAGCCAGGAGUGAAAGGCAGGGGCCCAACCCCCAGACUGCUCUUGAAACUGUAUGGCUGGAGUGCAGGAGAGGCAAGCGGAAUUCAUGGUGUAGAGGUGAAAUGCGUAGAGAUAAGGAGGAACACUCGUGGCGAAGGCGGCCUGCUGGAACGUUACUGACGCUGAGGCGCGAAGGCGUGGGGAGCAAACAGGAUUAGAUACCCGGGUAGUC
rnacentral:rRNA from 1 species